AUUGAACGCUGGCGGCAGGCUUAACACAUGCAAGUCGAGCGGGGGAAGGUAGCUUGCUACCGGACCUAGCGGCGGACGGGUGAGUAAUGCUUAGGAAUCUGCCUAUUAGUGGGGGACAACAUCUCGAAAGGGAUGCUAAUACCGCAUACGUCCUACGGGAGAAAGCAGGGGAUCUUCGGACCUUGCGCUAAUAGAUGAGCCUAAGUCGGAUUAGCUAGUUGGUGGGGUAAAGGCCUACCAAGGCGACGAUCUGUAGCGGGUCUGAGAGGAUGAUCCGCCACACUGGGACGGGGAGACGGCCCAGACUCCUACGGGAGGCAGCAGUGGGGAAUAUUGGACAAUGGGGGGAACCCUGAUCCAGCCAUGCCGCGUGUGUGAAGAAGGCCUUAUGGUUGUAAAGCACUUUAAGCGAGGAGGAGGCUACUCUAGUUAAUACCUAGGGAUAGUGGACGUUACUCGCAGAAUAAGCACCGGCUAACUCUGUGCCAGCCGCCGCCGUAA
rnacentral:rRNA from 1 species